GGUCGAACAACGAAAGUGGGGCUGCGACCUCAGUUCUCCAUCAAGAACAUUGGACUGCACAACCUUGCUCAUCCCGUCUGUAGCAGUCAUUUUAGGGAAUAUGUAACAUGUAUACUGUCUGGCACACUUAACAUACUGGGCAGCAGCAGUUGGUGACAGCAUAAAAAAGUGUUAAAGAAGAAGAAGAAGAGGAGGAAUUCUGUGCCGGCCAUAACACGCAGAGAACGCAAUGCAACUCGCAAGUGUCCUGAUAUUCAUCGCGGCGAUCAUGCCAGCCGUCUAUGUCAUGCAAUUGAUGGAACCAGUGAAGCUACAAAUGCCCGAGUGGGCUCCAUGCACCAGCGCACCGAAAACUGACGAGUGGACGUCCUUCGACCAUCAGCGGCAACCAUCGUUCCAGGUGGCCCGCCAGGAAUGUCUGGGCAACUUGACCUCUUUGCCUCUGGUUCCCUGCCCUGAGUCCUCAUCGCUUUGGCACAUGCUGAACACGGCCGUUGCUCACGUGAAUAAUUGCAAGACAGAGAAGAUUGACCUGGUCGUUCCCGAAGAUACGGAGAAGGCUGCUAAGCUGAACUGCAUCCAGGUGGAGGUGGACGGAGACAAGAAGGUGACGCUGUCCACGUGUGAAGAGUUGGAUGCGUCGCAUCUUAUCUUCCACUGUGACUACCGCUUGUAUAUUGCGGUGGGGGUGUUGGCUUUAAUCGCGAUAGCAAUUUGUGUCUGUUCCUGUUGUUGUUGCUGCUGAAAAAAGAUACUAAAUGGCGGAACAAACGGUCGUCUUGUGAUAUCACGAAGAAAUGAACUCUGAUCACGUAAUAGAAAAUCAUAUAUUUAGUGUGCUUGUGCGUUUUUUUUUUUCGUGAGUCACAAAUUAUUUUUGGAAGUGAACUAUGAACUUUCAGAUCCGCAACUGCACUCUCCCUAAGUGAUGUAGGUCCUCGCCGAAGGAGCCCCGUGCUAUAGUGUGGUUUACGAACACCGUCAGAAAGAACGCUCUCUGAGUGCUAAUAAAUUGGAAGAUAAGGAAAACCGA